AGUAGCCACGGUAAUACAGAGGGUGCGAGCGUUAAUCGGAUUUACUGGGCGUAAAGCGUGCGUAGGCGGCUUCUUAAGUCGGAUGUGAAAUCCCUGAGCUUAACUUAGGAAUUGCAUUCGAUACUGGGAAGCUAGAGUAUGGGAGAGGAUGGUAGAAUUCCAGGUGUAGCGGUGAAAUGCGUAGAGAUCUGGAGGAAUACCGAUGGCGAAGGCAGCCAUCUGGCCUAAUACUGACGCUGAGGUACGAAAGCAUGGGGAGCAAACAGGAUUAGAUACCCCGGUAGUCCCUGUCUCUUAUACA
rnacentral:rRNA from 1 species